rnacentral:misc_RNA from 1 species
UUUCCGUAGGUGAACCUGCGGAAGGAUCAUUAUUGUAUAACCGAGGUGCGAGGGCUGUCGCUGACCCGAAAGGUCGUGCACACCCGAGUGCCCUCACACACAUCCAUCUCACCCCUAUGUGCACCACCGCGUGGGUCCCCCUUUGGCUUGUUCGGAGGGGGGCUUACGUUUUCACACAAACUUUGUAUGCAGUGUAGAAUGUAUUUUUUGUUUUUGCGAUCACGCAAUCAAUACGACUUUCAACAACGGAUCUCUUGGCUCUC